rnacentral:rRNA from 1 species
AUGACGUCAAGUCAUCAUGCCCCUUAUGUCCAGGGCUUCACACAUGCUACAAUGGCCGGUACAAAGGGCUGCGAUGCCGCAAGGUUAAGCGAAUCCUUUUAAAGCCGGUCUCAGUUCGGAUUGGGGUCUGCAACUCGACCCCAUGAAGUCGGAGUCGCUAGUAAUCGCAGAUCAGCAACGCUGCGGUGAAUACGUUCCCGGGCCUUGUACACACCGCCCGUCACGUCAUGAAAGUCGGUAACACCCGAAGCCAGUGGCCUAACCCUUGGGAGGGAGCUGUCGAAGGUGGGAUCGGCGAUUGGGACGAAGUCGUAACAAGGUAGCCGUACCGGAAGGUGCGGCUGGAUC